GACAGAGGUGCCGAGCGUUAGGCGGAAUCACUGGGCUUAAAGCGUGUGUAGGCGGGUCGUUAAGUACCUUGUGAAAUCCCACGGCUUAACCGUGGAACUGCUCGGUAUACUGGCGAUCUUGAGCCACUUAGGGGUCAGCGGAACAAAUAGUGGAGCGGUGAAAUGCGUAGAUAUCAUUUGGAACGCCAAUGGUGAAAACAGCUGACUGGGAGUGUGCUGACGCUGAGACACGAAAGCCAGGGGAGCGAACGGG
rnacentral:rRNA from 1 species